rnacentral:rRNA from 1 species
GAUGAACGCUAGCGGCAGGCCUAAUACAUGCAAGUCGAGGGGCAGCACGGUUUUCGGACUGGUGGCGACCGGCGCACGGGUGCGUAACGCGUAUGCAACCUACCUAUUACUGGGGGAUAGCCCGGGGAAACCCGGAUUAAUACCCCAUAGUAUUAUAGAUUGGCAUCAUGAAAUAAUUAAAGAUUUAUUGGUAAUAGAUGGGCAUGCGUAAGAUUAGCUAGUUGGUGAGGUAAUGGCUCACCAAGGCGACGAUCUUUAGGGGGUCUGAGAGGAUGAUCCCCCACACUGGUACUGAGAUACGGACCAGACUCCUACGGGAGGCAGCAGUAGGGAAUAUUGGUCAAUGGGCGAAAGCCUGAACCAGCCAUGCCGCGUGCAGGAAGACGGCCUUCUGGGUUGUAAACUGCUUUUAUAUAGGAAGAAAACGCCCUUGCGAGGGAAACUGACGGUACUAUAUGAAUAAGCACCGGCUAACUCCGUGCCAGCCGCCGCCGUAACAC